rnacentral:rRNA from 1 species
UACGGGGGGGGCAAGCGUUGUUCGGAAUUACUGGGCGUAAAGGGCUCGUAGGUGGCCAACUAAGGCAUACGUGAAAUCCCUCGGCUUAACCGGGGAACUGCGUCUGAUACUGGAUGGCUUGAGGUUGGGAGAGGGAUGCGGAAUUCCAGGUGUAGCGGUGAAAUGCGUAGAUAUCUGGAGGAACACCGGUGGCGAAGGCGGCAUCCUGGACCAAUUCUGACACUGAGGAGCGAAAGCCAGGGGAGCAAACGGG